AUUGAACGCUGGCGGAAUGCUUUACACAUGCAAGUCGAGCGGCAGCACGGGGGCAACCCUGGUGGCGAGCGGCGAACGGGUGAGUAACACAUCGGAACAUGCCCAGUCGUGGGGGAUAACACUUCGAAAGAAGUGCUAAUACCGCAUACGUCCUGAGGGAGAAAGCGGGGGAUCGCAAGACCUCGCGCGAUUGGAGUGGCCGAUGUCAGAUUAGCUAGUUGGUGGGGUAAAGGCCUACCAAGGCAACGAUCUGUAGCUGGUCUGAGAGGAUGAUCAGCCACACUGGGACUGAGACACGGCCCAGACUCCUACGGGAGGCAGCAGUGGGGAAUUUUGGACAAUGGGGGCAACCCUGAUCCAGCCAUUCCGCGUGAGUGAAGAAGGCCUUCGGGUUGUAAAGCUCUUUCGGCAGGAACGAAACGGUGAGCUCUAACAUAGCUUGCUAAUGACGGUACCUGAAGAAGAAGCACCGGCUAACUACGUGCCAGCCGCCGCAGUAACAC
rnacentral:rRNA from 1 species